rnacentral:rRNA from 1 species
UACAGAGGUCUCAAGCGUUGUUCGGAUUCAUUGGGCGUAAAGGGCGCGUAGGCGGCGAGGUAAGUCGGGUGUGAAAUCUCAGAGCUCAACUCUGAAACUGCACUCGAUACUGCUUUGCUAGAGGACUGGAGAGGAGAUUGGAAUUCACGGUGUAGCAGUGAAAUGCGUAGAUAUCGUGAGGAAGACCAGUGGCGAAGGCGGAUCUCUGGACAGUUCCUGACGCUGAGGCGCGAAGGCCAGGGGAGCAAACGGG